CCUACGGGAGGCUGCAGUGGGGAAUAUUGCACAAUGGGGGCAACCCUGAUGCAGCGACGCCGCGUGAGUGAAGAAGUAUUUCGGUAUGUAAAGCUCUAUCAGCAGGGAAGAAAAUGACGGUACCUGUUUAAGAAGCCCCGGCUAACUACGUGCCAGCAGCCGCGGUAAUACGUAGGGGGCAAGCGUUAUCCGGAUUUACUGGGUGUAAAGGGAGCGUAGACGGCAGCACAAGUCUGGAGUGAAAUGCCGGGGCUUAACCCCGGAACUGCUUUGGAAACUGGGCAGCUAGAGUGCAGGAGAGGUAAGUGGAAUUCCUAGUGUAGCGGUGAAAUGCGUAGAUAUUAGGAGGAACACCAGUGGCGAAGGCGGCUUACUGGACUGUAACUGACGUUGAGGCUCGAAAGCGUGGGGAGCAAACAGGAUUAGAUACCCCAGUAGUC
rnacentral:rRNA from 1 species